rnacentral:rRNA from 1 species
UACGUAGGGGGCAAGCGUUGUCCGGAAUCAUUGGGCGUAAAGCGCGUGUAGGCGGCCCGAUAAGUCCGCUGUGAAAGCCCACGGCUCAACCGUGGAGGGUCAUUGGAAACUGGGGGACUUGAGUACAGAAGAGAAGAGUGGAAUUCCACGUGUAGCGGUGAAAUGCGUAGAGAUGUGGAGGAACACCAGUGGCGAAGGCGACUCUUUGGUCUGUAACUGACGCUGAGGCGCGAAAGCGUGGGGAGCAAACAGG